GCGGCUGUAGUCUAGUAAUUUUCUGGACAAUGGUAGGAUUCGAGCUUCCCAAGCUCGCGACCCGGGUUCAAAACUGGCGCUUUUCAAAAUUCCCUAUUGAAAGGACAUCUCCUUUCAAUGGGCGUAGGGAACACUGUUCCCUAUCGUGCCAGCAAAGCUGUCAAUCCCGGCAGCCGCA
rnacentral:tRNA from 1 species